rnacentral:tRNA from 1 species
UCCUCGUUAGUAUAGUGGACAGUAUCUCUGCUGCUGUCACGCAGAAGACCGGGGUUCGAUUCCCUGACGGGGAG